GCCCUGAUGGUCUAGCGGUAUGAUUCUCCCUUAGGGUUGUCUUCACGAUAAUUCUAUUCUGGGAGAGGUCCCAGGUUCGAUCCCUGGUUAGGGCC
rnacentral:tRNA from 1 species